AGCUUUGCGCAGUGGCAGUAUCGUAGCCAAUGAGGUUUAUCCGAGGCGCGAUUAUUGCUAAUUGAAAACAUACUAGUAAGUCCUCGUACCUGACAACAAUGCUCAGGUUGUUUCUCACAAUUCUUUAAUAUAAACCCAGUAUU
rnacentral:snRNA from 1 species